rnacentral:rRNA from 1 species
GCAGUCGAGCGAUCUUCUUCGGAAGAGAGCGGCGGACGGGUGAGUAACGCGUGGGUAACCUGCCCUGUACACACGGAUAACAUACCGAAAGGUAUGCUAAUACGGGAUAACAUAAGAAAUUCGCAUGUUUUUCUUAUCAAAGCUCCGGCGGUACAGGAUGGACCCGCGUCUGAUUAGCUAGUUGGUGAGGUAACGGCUCACCAAGGCGACGAUCAGUAGCCGACCUGAGAGGGUGAUCGGCCACAUUGGAACUGAGACACGGUCCAAACACCUACGGGAGGCAGCAGUGGGGAAUAUUGCACAAUGGGCGAAAGCCUGAUGCAGCAACGCCGCGUGAGCGAUGAAGGCCUUCGGGUCGUAAAGCUCUGUCCUCAAGGAAGAUAAUGACGGUACUUGAGGAGGAAGCCCCGGCUAACUACGUGCCAGCAGCCGCGGUAAUACGUAGGGGGCUAGCGUUAUCCGGAUUUACUGGGCGUAAAGGGUGCGUAGGCGGUCUUUUAAGUCAGGAGUGAAAGGCUACGGCUCAACCGUAGUAAGCUCUUGAAACUGGAGGACUUGAGUGCAGGAGAGGAGAGUGGAAUUCCUAGUGUAGCGGUGAAAUGCGUAGAUAUUAGGAGGAACACCAGUAGCGAAGGCGGCUCUCUGGACUGUAACUGACGCUGAGGCACGAAAGCGUGGGGAGCAAACAGGAUUAGAUACCCUGGUAGUCCACGCCGUANACGAUGAGUACUAGGUGUCGGGGGUUAUCCCCCUCGGUNCCGCAGCUAACGCAUUAAGUACUCCGCCUGGGGAGU